ensembl:lncRNA
GGAAGAUUGUUUUGGCCGUUACGUGAGUUGUGCUUCGGCUUCGUGCGCGGAUUAAUCUGAUUUUUUGAAUCGCGCGUGCGGUGCCGCUGUCAUUACAGUGACGGUAUCGCUUUUUUCAGCGCGAAUUUCAAUAACGACAUAUAUUGAAGAAAUAUGUCUGAUGAGAAGCGAGAUGAUUUCGAGGAGAAGAACUCAAGCCACACAGGGAGAGUUCUUCCAUAUCUUGUCCAAGCAUCUGAGCAAACAAACAUCUCUGACCAGACGCUGUGGUCUUUUACUCAUAAUUACCAGGGUUUGAAAAUGGCACGAAACUUAAGUUCUAAGACUUGGUGCUUUACUAAGAAUCAUCACCUGUUUUUUGCCAGUAAACAUGGAAUAUAAUAUAGGCCGAUUGAGGAUGAAAUGCAUUGUCACAUUAUUAAAAUAGUCCUGCAUCCUCUAGUCUUGAGGUCUCUGGAUAUGGCUUUGGCUCGGUUUGUGUUUUUGAAAGAAGCCUCCCCUGCUCACUAAGGCUACAUUUAUUAGACCAAAAAUAUAUAAAAAAUAGUGAAAUAUUAUUACAAUUUCAGAUAACUGAUUUCUACUUGAAUAUAUUUAAAACUGUAAUUUAUUCCUGUGAUGGAAAACUGAAUUUUCAAAAAAACUAAAGGAGGAGUUAAGAAAGAAUGCAGUUUCCCGCCAAAUCCGUCCCGACAGCUCUAAACGAUAAAUAAUCAUUAUAGGCAAAAACACAGUUUGAAUAUGGUUUUAUAAUGCAUUUGCUCAUUAGUUAAAUUUUGAACAGCAUUUAUUUGAAAUAUAAAUAAUUUGCAACAUUAUAAAUGUCUGCAAUGUCACUUUUGACCAAAUUAAUGCGUCUUCGCUCAAUGCCGUCUUUAUCAGCAGCGCAAGUUUGACUGGAAGCAUUAUUAUUCACAUUCCUCAGUGACCAUUAAAACACAUCCACAACAUUAAAGCCAGUCAAUCUGAAGUCAGCUCAUUCAGCUGGAUUGGGGAGGUUUAUUAGUCACUGUGAACCAGAACUAAGUAUUGAGUCAUUAGCUGGGUGUAAUAGCAACUACAUGCGUCACGCUGAUCUCAUCCUCUUCUCGAGCUCAUUCAUGAGUUACACACUGCAAUCUGAGACCUCACAGCGCCCUCUGCUGGUGCACAAACAUGUCACGCUACAAUAAAUGCAUAUUUCAAAUAAAUACA